GUCUGGCUGCUCGUUUGCUUUCUUGCACGGUGCAAAAGACAACCCUUAUUUUUUCGUACCCGGUCUACCGCCCUAUCUCUUCCCUUCCUUAUCCCUCUCCUAUCCUCCCCUUUUUCUUUUUUUCUAUUAUUUUUUUUCCUUUCUUUACCUCGAGCUGCAGGUUGCAACAAGGCUGCACGGCAUUUAACCCCACAUAGGUCGCGUAUCGUAUACGUCGAAGUCGAAGGAGGUGAGUUGCUAGGUCGAAGACCGUGCGGCUACCACCUGGCAGGCAAGCUUGUUAAAUUUAUUUCUUCAAUGGAACUCUGCUCUGUGCAUGCACGAUAUCGACGAGUUCUAUGCCUCUCCCCUAAUUCUCCAUCUACGACUGAUAUGGUAUUUCAUGUGCUCCGAUGCGUCAGCCCUGGAUAAUGUUCGGCACGGACUAAAAUUUAUGUUUAUCGCGGGGGAGUACGAGAACGAGCUUCGAGUGAAUACUGGGAAUUUUAAUUUCAAUAUAAGUAUAAGGAAAUAGCAACUCCUACAUAAUUCUUCAUUUCUCGUUAACGUUGGAUGGAUGUAACGUAAAGGAAAAAAGAA